rnacentral:piRNA from 1 species
GAUGUGAUGAAACUAACAAGGGCCCUGAC